rnacentral:rRNA from 1 species
UCGCGCUAUGAGAUGAGCCUGCGUYAGAUUAGCUAGUUGGUGGGGUAAAGGCYYACCAAGGCGACGAUCURUAGCUGGUCUGAGAGGACGAUCAGCCACACUGGGACUGAGACACGGCCCAGAGUCCUACGGGAGGCAGCAGUGGGGAAUAUUGGACAAUGGGCGAAAGCCUGAUCCAGCAAUACCGCGUGUGUGAAGAAGGCCUUCGGGUUGUAAAGCACUUUCAAUUGGGAGGAAAACCUAYCGGUCAAUACCCGGUAGCUUGACAUUACCUUUAGAAGAAGCCACCGGCUAACUC